AGCGAACGCUGGCGGCAGGCUUAACACAUGCAAGUCGAGCGGGCCUUUCGGGGUCAGCGGCGGACGGGUGAGUGACGCGUGGGAACGUGCCCUCUGGUUCGGAAUAACUCAGGGAAACUUGAGCUAAUACCGGAUACGCCCUUUUGGGGAAAGGCUUGCUGCCGGAGGAUCGGGCCGCGUCUGAUUAGCUAGUUGGUGAGGUAACGGCUCACCAAGGCGACGAUCAGUAGCUGGUCUGAGAGGAUGAUCAGCCACACUGGGACUGAGACACGGCCCAGACUCCUACGGGAGGCAGCAGUGGGGAAUAUUGGACAAUGGGCGCAAGCCUGAUCCAGCCAUGCCGCGUGAGUGAUGAAGGCCUUAGGGUUGUAAAGCUCUUUUAUCCGGGACGAUAAUGACGGUACCGGAGGAAUAAGCCCCGGCUAACUUCGUG
rnacentral:rRNA from 1 species